AUGAAGAUCGACCUUAACAUGGGCAAUGAGGAGAUCACGAGUUGCAACGGCAGCAGCAAGAGGAAAGGAGAAGAGGGCGACGUCGGCACCGACGGCAGGAGGAGGCAGAAGCAGAAUGUCACCAUGGUCAUGGAGGUCCUGGACUGCCCCGUCUGCUCCAAACCCCUCAGUCCUCCCAUUUACCAGUGCUCCGUGGGGCAUGUGGUCUGCUGGUCCUGCUGCGAAGGGCUCCCGGAAAAGAAGUGCGACGUGUGCUCUGGCGACGUCUCCGAGAGAUGCCACGCCAUGGAGAGCGUCGUGGACAGCGUCUUCGUCCCCUGCAAGCACGGAUGCGCCAAGGAGCUCGCCUACUGCCAGCAGGAGGAGCACGAGAGAGAGUGCCCCACCGGCCCGUGCUUCUGCCCUGUCCCUGGCUGUGGCUUCUCAGGGCCGACCGCCGCGCUCCAGGACCAUUUCACCGGCCUGCACAAGUGGCCGAUGAAGAGUUUCAAGUAUUUCGUGCCGUUCUUCCUCCGAGUAGUGCGUCCGGGAUCGCACGUCCUCAGAUGCGGAGACGGACUACUCUUCGUGCUCACUGUGGGGCCGCCGGUGGAGCUCCUCGGCCGCGCGGUGUCCCUCGUCUGCGUCCGGCCGAACGUGCUGGAGUCCCCGGUCGGAUGCUCUGUGUGCUUCUCGUGCUUCGCCGGCCAUUACCAGGUCUCGUCGCUCGACGUGGAGACCUCGUCCCUGGCUGAUGGGCUGCCGACGAAGUGCUUCUGUGUCUUGCCCAAGGUUGCUGGUGACAAAACCGAGGCCGUCGUGCUUUGGAUCACCAUGGACACAAUUUUCCCUAUUCACGAUGAUGAGCUGUACGAGGAGGAUGAUGAUGACGACGACAGCUACGAGGACGGUGAGAAUGAGGAUGAGGAGGAUGAUGAUUGA
rnacentral:rRNA from 1 species